rnacentral:misc_RNA from 1 species
GAGGAGAUCAGGGUGGAGGUGGAGGACGCGAUGUACCUCGUCAUCCGCACCGAGCUUGAUGACGGUGGCGAUGGCGACGGCGGAGGCGGCGGUGGCCGGAGGAGCUUCGCGAGGAAGUUCCGGCUGCCGGCGAUGGUGGACGCCGACGGCAUCUCGGCGGAGUACACCCACGGCGUGCUCAGGGUAACCGUCCCGAGGCUGCA